GUGGCAGUAUGCCCUGUGGGCCCUGAACGCACCACACAAGUGCCUGACUUUAAUUGGUUGUAGCGCUGCCUGCAUAUAAAGGGCCCUCCCUCACCUGGUAGACAACACGUUCUCCUUCCGGUUCAGACUUCACUGUUGACUGGCGCUAUACGACUGACGCGCUUAAGACAUUAAUUGCUGUUCAAGCCUUCUUCUGGUGACUUGUACCAGCUGACUGCUUCUUCUCCCUGCCAGAGGCAUAACGCAUCAAGCUCAGUGACGCUGCUGUUUGUCCUUGGCCGGCUGCUUGCCCGUACUCUGUUGUCCCUGGUUGACGGUCCGUCCGCCUGUGACCUGGUUAUUCGUCGUCGGCUGACGGCGGCCUGCCCGUCGCCCUGGUUGUCGGCUUCAUACCCGCUGUCCUGGUCGGCGUAAGCUGGCUUUUGACUCUCGUCCAGUGUGGCUGAUUCAGGCUGGUUCAUGACCAGCUCGUCCUGAUCCCUCUGGUGCCGCUCUGGCUGGCGUUUGCUGUGGCGCGGCGGUUCGUCUCAGGACGGACUCCUAACUUGGACUGCUAUUGCUUGAUUUGUGAGGACUGAACUGUAUAACCAAGAAAUGUAUGUAAUUUGAAUGUCUUUUCUUUUGUUGACAGGAAUGGCCAGCUCGUGGUGUCGGUGGUGGACUUUCUGGGUGGUGGUAUUUUCUUUGGUUUGGUGCACGAUUUUCUUUUAUUUGGUUUGCUGUGUUUCCUUUGUAGGUCCCUGCCAGCUUCGAGUUGAGCCGUAAAUGUCAUUUUAAUGUGUGAGUGAUUUUAAACUAAUAUAUUUCUGACUAGAAAAUUGAAAUAAUAAACUGAUUGGACUGAG